rnacentral:lncRNA from 1 species
GGAGAAUACUCUAUGAUAUGAUUAAGAAUCUCUGGCCAGAGUAUGGAUGAGAUUUAGGAAGUCGUUCCAAAUCACAUUCAAGGUAAUCAUAUAAGCACACGAAUCACAUUGGAUAGUAGACAUGAAUAAACUAUCAAACCAAACAAUGUUGUCAAGAGUAUUGUAUUAGAGAAAGACCGUAUUGCAUUUGUAAUCCUAAACUGAAUAGAUUCUCCACCUCUUCUGAUUAGCUUGGGUAACCAUGAUAUACUGCUAGGUGUCACUCAUGGUUUGUGGAAGCCCUAAACGUGUAUAAUCACUAAAGGGAGAAUUGAAAGUAAGUUUCAAUUCACAAUCGAUUUGAAAUGGUUUUAAUCGCCCACUGCCUCGCUAAAUGGAACCUAAUGGAUCGUACACCGUGUAAGGUGGAGAUUGAAGAAACAAUGGAGAUGAGUGAGAAUAAUUAAAUGGUUUAAUUAUUUAUGGCAAGGAUUAAUUAAUAUAUUAAUUAAUCAAACGAAUAAGUUCGUUAAAGACCUCGGGAUAGUUUUGGGCCUCAAGGCCCAAUGGGCUUCGAAUUUCAAGCCCAUUGACUUAAGUUGUAUGACAACUUAAUGACAAAUAAUUCACAAUGGCCUUAAAAGCCCAAUGAAACCCUAUGGCCGGCCAUUUUGUUAAAGGAGUGGGGUUUUGGACUUAAUUACAAGUUUGCCACUCCAAUGAAUAAAGGUAUAAAUAUGACUUUAUAGCCAAAAUUCAUUUAGGGUUUUCUUUUGGGGAAAGGAUGAGAACAUAAGCUCUCAUUCUCUCUAAAGUGGCCGGCCUCCUUGUAGGGUUUAGCUAGCAAUCCUACUACUCCGAGGUCAGUCAUUUCUUCUCCAAUCUAACCUUGGUGAAGAGACUUAGAGGUUCUCAAUUUUGGGAACUUAGAGAACCAUUUCAUCCAUCCAAAUCCAUAGAUCUAAGAUGCAAGGAAUGAAGGCCCUCUCUUUGGGUGAUUAGCCUUUGCUUAUGCAAAGAGGAAUCUACAAAGGUAUAAUUUCUCAUCUAACAAAUGUUGUUUUAAGUUGAGUCAAGGUUCACCAAUCUACUAGGCUUUGAAUUUCAUGGUUAAUGUUUUGUUUUUAAGUGCAUACAAGCAUGAUUCCGCCUUUAAUUUGUUAAUUGCAUGCUAUAGAUGUUGCUUAAAUGAACAUGUUUUUCACAAAAUUUCCUUCAAGUGGUAUCAGAGCCUAGGUCUAGUAGUUAGUGAAUCCUUUUGGGUUUUGUAGUUCAUAGUCUUUGAUUUAAAUGUUGUAAUAUGUUACAAGCUUUAUUCUUGCUUCUUUGAAUGUAAAUUUUGUUAGAAAAUUUGCCAUCUCAAAUGUUGUAGAUGUAGUUCAUAUGAGCAUGAAUAUUGGAGCUAAAAUUUGGUGCCAUGUUUUUGGGGAUUUUCGGCCAAAUCCAAAGGGUGGAUUUUUGGGUUCAUGUUUGACUUGUUAAAAGUGUUUUCAAGUAACUUUUGGAACCCCUAUGUACCCUAGUUUGGUUAUAUGUUAUUUCCCUUAAGUUUGAAUGGUUUUGGGAUGUUUUUUGGUGAAAAAUGUUCAUGGAAAUUUUUGAGUUUUUUCAUGAGUGUUCUUCAUUGUUCCUGACAUUUUUGCCAAGAACAAAAAGUUUGGUGUUUUGAUUUAUUUCAUAAAGUUUUUGUUUUAUGUUUUUCUUAUGUUUAAAUGUAUUAGAUAUUUAUUUAGAAAGGUGUAAGAAAUAUUGGUGGGUGUGUAAGGAUUAAUUCCCUUUCACACACACCACUUGCAUGACAUUUAUGUCAUGCACCACUUGCAUGACUUUAUGUCUAAAACUACAAAUCAACACACACAUCACUCCCUUCUCUCCAAAAACCGGCCACCCUACAAGUGGGGUGUUUUUGGGGCUUUUAUGCAAUUACAUAAAGUUUUGGUACUUUUGUGUAUUUGCACUUUGGCCCAAAAGUUUACGUUUUUACGUUUAGGUCCAAAAACGCUAAAGGACAAAUUGUUUUGCUCCUUUAAUGAAGUUUUUGCAUUUGUUGAAAUUUUUGGGUUCUAGUUGUAAUUACAUGAAGUAGUGGACUUUUGUGUUUUUACAAAGUGACCCCAAAAGUUUAUGCUUUUGCAAUAUAGCCCAAAAGUUGAGGUUAUUGCAUUUUGGCC